UACGUUUUAAGACGUAUUAAAAAAAAACUACUUAUAGUAAAGUUAGAUACACAUUUUACCACUUUGGAAGUGUCUCUCGCGCAAACUAUUCAGUUUAGAAAAAAAUUAUAUUAGAAACCUCAAUAUCAUUUUUGAAGACCUAUCCCUAGAUAUCCCAUCCCACACGUAUGGGUCGGAUGAAAAAAAAAUCUUUUGAGUUUCAGAUCUAGGUAUGGGGAACCCCCAAAAUUUAAUGUUUUAUUUUUUCUUUUUUUGUGUAAAAAUCUUAAUGCGGUUUACAGAAUACAUCUACUUACCAAAUUUCAACAGUAUAGUUCUUAUAGUUUCGGAAAAAAGUGGCUGUGACAUAAGGACAGACAGACAGACAUGACGAAUCCAAAAGGGUUCAGUUUUUUGCCAUUUGGCUACGGAACCCUAAAAAU